rnacentral:lncRNA from 1 species
GGCAGGCAAGGUGAGCCCCUUCCCUCCUGGGCUUCCAGGCUCUACAGGCCAGUUGGGGAGAUGGGCAUCUGCACCCCACUUCCUUACCCUACACAGGGAUGGCCCCUUUUCUGGGAUCCAGAGCCCCUCCACAGGUCCCGACCGGAGAGCAGAGUCUGAGGUGUGCCAGGGAGCCCUCUCUUUCUUGUGAGAGCCUACACACUGCCCCCAGCACCCCUCAGAACUGCCCUGUAUGUCUGGACAACCCUAGAGCAGGACCCUGAUCCCCCACCCCGCAGCCUGGGCACCCCGUGCGGGGCCCUGAGUACCAAGCACACGGGCACACGCCCUUCCCAUGCCCGGCCGAGGCAGCUGGCCCAGAGUUGGCACCUCCCUCGGGCCCACCUGCGAGACUUCCUGUCCCCACCCAGACCCCUCCCCCAACUGGCCGGGUGCGGAGGGCCUGAGCUCCCUAGCCUGGAAAGGGACACAGAUGGCAGCAGGGGAGCAGUCUGAGGUGAUAGGUGGUUUUGGAGAUGAAGAACAGUUGUUUCCCCUUGUCCCUGUCCCAUCCUCCAGGGCCUGGUUCCCCUCUGGCUGCCCCCCUCCCUGGGGACUGAACCCCUGGCCACCUCCAAGGCUGGCUGGGCAGGGUUUUGUGCCCCUCCACAGUGGGGUGAAUAGAAGUGAUUAAGCCAGCCACUUCCUGUCACCUCCCCUUCUCCAAGACAUGGCAGGGCAAGAGGAGACCUUCCCAUCUGCAGCCAGUGACAUGUGCAUGCCUGGUGGAGGAGUGGUUCCACCAGUUACGCAGCUGAGAGGCCUGGCAGGGCCUGAGCUUGCACUGGGCCGAGCAGCAUGGAGCAUGGACUUGGGAGGCCCCUCUUGCCUGGCAUGCUCUGGACGCUCGUCCCUGGAGCCCCACUGCUCUCUGCCAAGCCCUGGGCAGGCAGGAGCCACUGUCUCUUCUGCCAGCGGGCAGUGCCUGCAGCCAAAGCCCCAGACCCAUCUGUGCCAGGCCUUGAGGCCCAGCUGCCCCUCAGUGGGGUGACACGUGGCUGCUGUCCGGCACACUGAGGUUGCCUGGGCAGCAGCCCUGCACGGGGCAUUUGGUGGCUGAGACAGCCAAUCCCACAGCUGUGAGGGACAGCAAGGUGUUGUGGCCCCUGCCUCUGGAGUGGUACAGGGUCCUGGGCUGCCCAAGCCCUGGCAGACGUGUGGGGAUGGAGGACAUUAAGGCAGGGAGGACUGGAGGUUGGAAGGAGGCAGUGGCGCAGGGGCAGGGCACCCCGUGCCUGGGGAGGGAGCCAGGCAGGCCCCCCACUGCCACUGGUUUGGGGCGCCCUGGCCAGCCCCCCUCCCCUCAGAGCCCAGCACCCUUUAUCCAGCUUUGGCCACCACUUGGCCACCCCACUCCUGAGUCAGGACCACCUUUAUUCACGGUCACUAUUUAUUCCUCGUUCCUUCUUUUGUAAGAAACAGUCACAAAAACCAGUGCAAAACCACCUGUGUGGGCGUCCUGUUUUAUAUUACAAAACUGCUCUUGAUAUAGAAUAUAAAAGGGGGCUCACAUGGGAGAAAACCAUGAUAAAUUAGCUCUGCUGUCUGCUGCAAGGGACAUUUACAGAUUUCAAAAUAGACUUUUGAUGCGCGACCCACUGAGAGGGGGGGAGGAGAGUUGCGCCUCGGCUGGUUGGGGGAUCUGGCCUGGAACCCCUGAGCACGGAUGGAGGGGACAUAGCGUGAGGUCAGAUGCCAGCAGGGCUUCCGGGGAGGGUGCAGACCCCUGCCCUCGCCCUUUGACAUGCCCGUCCUGUCUUGGCAGCUAGGGCCUGCUUGGGCUUUUGCGCUAAUUGGCCUUGGCACCUUGGGGAAAGCCUUUGGGGAUGAGCUUACCUUGGGCAGAGGGUGCCCGUGACUACGGCGGGGCUCAGUCCUGCCUGGCUGGGGUGAGGGGAGCUUGGGUUCAACCUCAGAGCAGCCAUUUGCCUUUCCAGGAAGCUGGGGCUAAGUGUGUCUAGGAACCAUGGGCAGGAAACAGGCAGGGGGCACUGGGCUCUAGACUGCAACUCUCUUCCAAGUGGCUGGAAAGCAUGACAGGAGGCUGGGCACGGGGACAGGAAAUGAGUUCUAAGAUCUGAAGAGGGACAGGGAGAGGACAGCAGAUACCAUGCUGUUCCUCCUGUGCCCAUGGCAGACAUCACUAGUCACACUCCAAGGCACCUGCCAGACAUCAUUAAUCACAUUCAAGGUGCCCAUCAGACAUCACUAGUAGGGAUUUCACUGCCUUCUCCCACUGGGCACAGACCAAACCUCGGCGUCAGCACAGCCCCCUAAUUAUCAGGGUGGAGGUAUCUCCCAACACUGGUCUAGGAGGGUGAGGCUCGUAUGUUUGGGGGCAUUGUAUGGACAAGAACCUCUGAGUCUAUGGGGAAAUUUCUGCCUGAGCCUGGAGGCAACACAAAUGUCCUGUGGACAGUGAAAAGGACAGGAAACCGUGUCACAGCAGAAAUGGCUGAGAUGCCCAAGGGUCCUUCAGCCUGCAGACAAGGAGGCUGGGGGAGUCAUCAUGCAACCUGAACACUCCAGAAAGGAGGGACCGAAACGGAGGUGUGGGCAGAACCCACAAACAGGAGCCUCUUCUAUCUGGUGAUGCCAAAGAGCAGUCCAGAGGCAGGAGGGUGCCUGGGGAGGUAGUGAGCUCUCCAUCUCGGGAGGUAUGCAACAAGGUGGAGAAUGCGUGGCAGGGAACCUUGCAGGACACAUUCAAGCCUCCAUUCUGGGAGGGGAGAAGGAGAACAGGAUGAUCCUGGGGCUUCUUUCACCCUGAGAGUCAGGGAUCUGGGAAGAGGCAGGGGAGAGGAGCAGUGUGGACAGGGGAUGUGACCCAUGUACAUGUGAGGAACUCAAGACAAGGAGAGGCAGGAGCGUGCGCAGACUCCGCCGCUGGAGAGCUGGGAGGCGGUGGUUCCUGGCCAGCUGGAAACUUCCGGGGCCCAGAACGCGAGGCCACAGGGCAGUGUGACAGCAGGUCUGCUGGAGUCCUGGGUGCAGUGACAGCAGCCUGGAGCCGCCCGGGCUCUGUUCACAGCUGCCAGCCAUGCUGUGUGACUGCGGACAGCUCCCGGGCCCUCUCUGGGCCUGUGUGGUCCGGCAGAUGGGAAAGCAAGGACUCUGCCAGCGGAGCUGCUCCCAAUCCAGCGUCUGCACGCAGUCCCCUCUCCGCUCAGCCGGAAACGGGGUGGGGCAGCUGUCAGCUUCCCGGAGACCAGGCACGGCCCCUAGAGAUGGGGCCGCCCAGUCUCCUGAGGGUUUGGGAGCUGUGGCUCCUCGUGGCCGGAAUCCUUGAUUCCUCGGCGGCAGGGGAGGACAGAGUCUGCCUGGGCAGGGUCCUGGCACGGUGUUCCUCUGGUCCCCGGGGCAGAGGGCAUCACAGGUCAGUGCUGGGGUCCUGUCGUGAGCCCGUAGUCCCUGCCCUGGAGUCCAAGUGAGGCCACGUCCACGUUUCUGUCUUCAUUUUGUUUAAAAAAAUUAGCUCUGCCGCCGCCCUUUCCCGGGCCACUGGCUGGAGCGUCCUCUCCUCCCCUGGCGAGGGGAUGGGGUGGGGAGGGGAAGGGCCGUGGGCGCCGGGCAGCGCUGGGCGGGCGUCUCCAGGCUCCACCCUCUACUGGAUGCCCCCGGAAGAGGCACAUGGCGAAGAUCAUAACAAAAGCUGCAAGAAAGCAGGGUGACCGGUCAGGCUGGGCCCACAGUGUCUAG